UCGCCUUAUUCCAGAAGCCCAUAAUGCUUUGCGACAAAGGUGACUUCCGGUUUAUUUCCGCAUUCAAUUUCCUAGUUAUCGAUACGAGUGAAAGGAAGAGCAUACUUGGCAAAAUAGAUCGAUAGAGAUGUCCAUUCUGGAUGUUUGAUUCCGCCAAGUUGAUGCUCAACAGGAGUAGGCAGUUGAUACCAUUGAUCUGAUAGCACCUGCUAUAUCAGUGGUUUUACAAGAAAAAUUUGUGCAAAACACAAGAGACGGAAUCGGUUCAAGAACAGAGAUAAAAUAAAUGAAGUGUGUCAAUAUGAAUGAAAACUUUCCUUGACUGCAAGGACUAAAGAAAUGCACACAAGUGACAUAAAUUUAAAUGUUUAGUACAAAAAGUAGACAUGUAGAACUUAAAAUUAUGACACAGGAUGUGAAACAACACUUUAUAGCCGAUAACAGUCGAACAAGAGAUUUUUCAAAAAGAAGCAAGAUGUGGUUUUUUAACCCUUGGCAAAUGAACCUUUAAAGGGAUUAUUGCAUACCAAGGACAAUUUAUUGUUAUUGAAUUAUAUCAUGUUUAAUGUUAUUAUUAAAUUGUAAAAAAUACCGUUGUUAUUAAUAUGAUUGUCUAUGAUCUUUUUAUUCCAAUGACUGUGUAAACUCCCAUGGUUAAUAUUAAAAAGACAUAAAAUCGA